rnacentral:tRNA from 1 species
GGGGAUGUAGCUCAAUUGGUAGAGUGCUUGCUUGGCAUGCAUGAAGCACUGGGUUUGAUCCCUACCCCUG